AAAGAAAAAAUAGUUUUGAAAUUCUGUUCUGUGAAGGAUUAGAUGACAGGGUGUUGAUAUUUGUGAUGCAAAACAAUGUCUUUAUGAUUGCCAGUAAUGUCCUUGGAUUGAGCUGUCUUCAAAGAAACUUGGACUAUAAUAAGAGUGCUCCACACUAAAUGUUGUGAUCAGUGUUAGCAUGCCAUCUGACAUCGAAGAAUAUAAAAAGUUUACAGACAAUGGAUUUGGUUUUCAACAACUUAACUGUCAAAUCCCAAGUGCUUUGUUCAGAAUUGAUACUCUUACUUGUUUCUUGGAAACAAUGGCCUAUCAGGAACCAUUCCUCAGCAAAAGGCUGUAUAUCUUAAAAACAUGAAUCUAGUGGCCAGCAAUUUCAUGUUUGACGGCUCAAACAUCUGGCUCAGCAAUGGGAUAUGCUGCGCUUUAACAAACAUAACUGGUAAUGUUCUCUGUGCUUGCCAGUAUUCUCCCCGGAUUGAAUUGUUUGCAGAGAAAUUUCCCCUGCAGUAAGAAUGCUCCAUGUUAUUCAAGUUUUGCAAUCUAGUGUGGUGGUGAAGAAAUGAAAGUUGAUAGCAUAGUGUAUAAGGGUGAUAACAAUGAUAUUGGUGGAGCUUCUUCUAAUCUACUUGAUGCAGAAAACGGGGCAACUAGUGAUGCUGAUUUGUUUUCUGAUCGACAAUCAACAGAUUCAACACACAUGUUCAAAAUACCAACUCACAAGUGACUGGAACUGUAGCCCCAAAGCUUUAUCAGUCUUCAAGGCAAUCCUCUGGAUCACUUAGAUAUUAUGGACUUAAGUCUGGAGAAUAGACCUUACAAUGUAAGCGUGUCCCUUGUUAAGGCAACGUUUUGGUAAUCAAGGCUCACAAACAUGGAGGAGUCUUGGAAGGCAUGUUUUUUAUAUCUAUGCUCAGGUGAACUUGCUGGAGAAUUUUGGUUCUUGUCCUUGAAUACACAGCUUCUACCAUUGCAAUUUCAUCUAUUUACUCUCAUAAUUGAUCCUGUAGGGAACUCUCCAGUUAAUAAAAAUUUGGCAUAUCAAAAAAAGCAGGCGGAAAUAGUAUCGCAAUGAUAAAGAAAUGUAAUGUUAAUGCAUCUGAGAACCAUCUUGAAAUCCACCUUUUUGGGUUGGUAAAGGGAUUUGUUGCAUCCUAGUGUCAUUACAGAUAAGAAGAAAUAAUGAUGUUGCAGAAGACAAGUGUCCAAGGGAUUUUUAAAAUAAUAAUAGUUGAAGUCUCGUAAGUCAAGCUUGCUUGAGAGAUAUGAUUUAUGGUCGUAGAUCUACUACUGCAGGAUACUCUUUCAAUGGAAGGGCGAUAUCUAUGAAGCAACUUCCACUAGGAUCCCAUCAAAGGAAAAAUCAGUUUGUUAAUGAAAUAGCUACCAUAUUUGUAGAGCAACGUUGCAAUCUUUUUAUUAUCCAGUUGUUACAUCAAGGGAACUUGACGCCUCCAUGUGAAUUAGUAUCUCGAAAAACAAAGGCCUCGAUCAAGUAUUGUUUAGUAUGAAGACACUAAUUGAUAAUCAAUCUUAGUUUACAAUUUCUAUUGUGCUUUUCUUGCAA